CGUCUAUAUACGUAUAGCAUAUCAAUAAGCGGAGGAAAAGAAACUAACAAGGAUUCCCUUAGUAACGGCGAGUGAAGCGGGAAGAGCUCAAAUUUGAAAUCUUCAAGGUUUUACCUUGACGAAUUGUAGUUUAAAGAAGUGUUUUCUGUUGAAGUUUCGGUAAAAGUUCUUUGGAAUAGGACAUCAUAGAGGGUGAGAAUCCCGUAUUUGACCGUUAUUUUCAGCUGUGUGAUACACUUUCAAAGAGUCGGAUUGUUUGGGAAUGCAGUCCAAAAUGGGUGGUAAAUUUCAUCUAAAGCUAAAUACUGGCGAGAGACCGAUAGCGAACAAGUACCGUGAGGGAAAGAUGAAAAGAACUUUGAAAAGAGAGUUAAACAGUACGUGAAAUUGUCAAAAGGGAAGCGUUUGACACCAGUGUUGUUUUCUCGAAAAUCAAUUAAAAAUGGUGGGAUUUUGUGUUGUAUUGACUUUAUCAGCUUUCUGCACUUUUUUCCUAUCUUUUUUAAUGCACUUUUCGUUUAACAAGUCAACAUCAAUUUCUUUUGUUGUAAAAGAGUCAUUGGAAGGUGGCUUUCAUUUCGGUAGAAAGUGUUUAUAGCCUUUGACUUCUGCAAUCGGAGAGAUUGAGGUCUGCAGCGUAGAUCCUUCGGGGUUAGAUACAUUUGUGCUAAGUUAUAGCCUUUUCAUAGACAACAUUGUUGACUAUGAUCAUCAUGUAGCUUACUCGCUUAUGUUAUUUUACCUACGCUUAGGAUGUUGACGAUCAGCUGAGCGCG
rnacentral:rRNA from 1 species